GGGGCUGUUAGGUUUCUACAUAUUUUGUAUUGUAGUAGAUUAAAUUAUUGAGAAAUAGUUAUAUUGUUAAUGUAAAUUUAUACUUAGCAACUUAUAUAAUAUAAAUGCAAAACAUCAAAUUAAUCCUUUGUCUAAAACUCUUAAAUUAGUGAAUUUAUGCUAAUUUUUAGACUUUAAUUAUCAUAUCUUGAUAUAUAAUUAAUUUUUUAAUCAAGUGCUCUUAAGUAAAUGCUUUAUAAUAUUUGACUUAUUAUAUCAAUUAUUUUGAUUUAUUUAAGAUAAGUUAAAAAUAAAAAACAUGUCGCACUAAAUUAAUAUAUUUUUCUCAUUAAAAUUAUUGUUACAAUAAAAUAAUUUAAUAUACUGAAUAAAUAUGGACGUGGGUUCGAAUCCCACCAGCUCCA
rnacentral:tmRNA from 1 species